AGAGUUUGAUCCUGGCUCAGGACGAACGCUGGCGGCGUGCUUAACACAUGCAAGUCGAACGGAGCACCCUUGAUUGAGGUUUCGGCCAAAUGAUAGGAAUGCUUAGUGGCGGACUGGUGAGUAACGCGUGAGGAACCUGCCUUUCAGAGGGGGACAACAGUUGGAAACGACUGCUAAUACCGCAUGACGCAUUUUGAUCGCAUGGUCGAAAUGCCAAAGAUUUAUCGCUGAAAGAUGGCCUCGCGUCUGAUUAGCUAGUUGGUGAGGUAACGGCCCACCAAGGCGACGAUCAGUAGCCGGACUGAGAGGUUGACCGGCCACAUUGGGACUGAGAUACGGCCCAGACUCCUACGGGAGGCAGCAGUGGGGAAUAUUGGGCAAUGGGCGCAAGCCUGACCCAGCAACGCCGCGUGAAGGAAGAAGGCUUUCGGGUUGUAAACUUCUUUUAAGAGGGAAGAGUAGAAGACGGUACCUCUUGAAUAAGCCACGGCUAACUACGUGCCAGCAGCCGCGGUAAUACGUAGGUGGCAAGCGUUGUCCGGAUUUACUGGGUGUAAAGGGCGUGCAGCCGGGCAUGCAAGUCAGAUGUGAAAUCUCAGGGCUUAACCCUGAAACUGCAUUUGAAACUGUAUGUCUUGAGUGCCGGAGAGGUAAUCGGAAUUCCUUGUGUAGCGGUGAAAUGCGUAGAUAUAAGGAAGAACACCAGUGGCGAAGGCGGAUUACUGGACGAUAACUGACGGUGAGGCGCGAAAGCGUGGGGAGCAAACAGGAUUAGAUACCCCCGUAGUCCUAGUCAAGUACGAUGGAUACUAGGUGUGGGAGGUAUUGACCCCUUCCGUGCCGCAGUUAACACAA
rnacentral:rRNA from 1 species